rnacentral:lncRNA from 1 species
UCAGCCCAGAAUGGAUGACAAGCUCCCUCUAACAGAGGCUCCCUUCAGUUAGCCGUCCCCCCUGCACAUAUACUCCAGUGCCUCCACAGAUCACCUCGGAUGGAAGAACUGCCGCUCACAGGGAGGGUCCGGGAAGCACUGGUUAGAAGCCACUGGACCUUCCCCACACCUCCAUUGAUGAAGCAUAGGUCAAUCUGCAGGGUGUCCUUUGAGUAAUCACAACUGCCCUGAAGAUGAUAAUGGCUAUUAUACGCAAGAGGACGGUCUUCCACACCAUUACCUGUAGACUCAGGUACCGUGCUAGGAAGGUAGAUCUCCGUUCUGUCUCUGGCUAUCUGGAUCUUAUGGUCCCCACCCCAAAACGAGGACGCAUUCUGUUGCAAUGCACAGGAGUAUCUGUGGCUUCAGAGUAUGCAUUCCUUACCCCGCCAUGCGACCCUGAUUCCUUCUCCCGCACUCCCACUCUAGCCCAUACACAAUGCACUUCCACUUAUAGACCUGAGAGUAUCCAUUAAACUCCCUUCCUGGCUAAUUCCAGGAAAGCAGGGACGAAUCUCAGGCCCCUCGCACUGCGCGCCGGAGCACAGUACACGGAGCGAAGGGACGCGAGGCCAAACCAUGCCAGGGGACCUGGGCAAGACCGGUCCCUGCUCCCUCAGGUCCAGACGGCUGGCCCCGGGGAAAGCCUGACUGGAAAGGCGUGGGGGAGGCAAAACCAAAGAAAAGGGUGAUGACAGGACGCCCAUCCCCUUUCCACCCAUCUAUCUUUGAGGUAGGGAUGCUUGUGUUUAGGCAGCUCAAGAAAUUUAACCCCGGGGCUGGAGAGAUGGCUCAGCGGUUA